rnacentral:rRNA from 1 species
AUUGAACGCUGGCGGCAUGCUUUACACAUGCAAGUCGAACGGCAGCGGGGAGGAGCUUGCUUCUCUGCCGGCGAGUGGCGAACGGGUGAGUAAUACAUCGGAACGUGUCGAGAAGAGGGGGAUAACCACCCGAAAGGGUGGCUAAUACCGCAUAAAUUCUGAGGAAGAAAGCUGGGGACCUAGGAAGAGGCCUAGCGCUUUUUGAGCGGCCGAUGUCGGAUUAGCUAGUUGGUGAGGUAAAGGCUCACCAAGGCGAAGAUCUGUAGCGGGUCUGAGAGGAUGAUCCGCCACACUGGGACUGAGACACGGCCCAGACUCCUACGGGAGGCAGCAGUGGGGAAUUUUGGACAAUGGGGGCAACCCUGAUCCAGCCAUGCCGCGUGUAUGAAGAAGGCCUUAGGGUUGUAAAGUACUUUUGUUAGGGAAGAAAAGUCAGCUGUGAAUAAUGGCUGAUACUGACGGUACCUAAAGAAUAAGCACCGGCUAACUACGUG